rnacentral:rRNA from 1 species
UACGUAGGGUGCAAGCGUUAAUCGGAAUUACUGGGCGUAAAGCGUGCGCAGGCGGUUGUGCAAGACCGAUGUGAAAUCCCCGGGCUUAACCUGGGAAUGGCAUUGGUGACUGCACGGCUAGAGUGUGUCAGAGGGGGGUAGAAUUCCACGUGUAGCAGUGAAAUGCGUAGAGAUGUGGAGGAACACCGGUGGCGAAGGCGGGUCUCUGGGCAUCUCCUGACGCUGAGGCGCGAAAGCGUGGGGAGCAAACGGG